rnacentral:lncRNA from 1 species
CAAUUCAUUGGGAGGGGUUUUCUACUGGCGUCAUUUGAAAAUAUAUAUUCCUGUAGCUAACAAUGAACAACUGGGAAUUUCUCCUCGUCGCACAAAGCCAUGGAAAUGUUUGUGGAUAACUUUUAUAACUGUACUCUGAGUCUGCAAUAUUCUAUAUCCCAUGGCCACAACCUUCCGAAUGUGACUCUGCAACAAGUGACAGAUGCAGAGGUCCACGCACAAAGAAAGCUGUUCCAUGAAAAUCAUCCUUGUCUACAUUGAGGUCCAUGUACAGACACUUUGCAGAGAAAAGAUGGGUAACAAAUGCUUAUGUACUGCUUAUGAAUGUGUUAUGUAGUCCCGCAGAUACCCUAUUAAGUGUUUAUGAGGAAAGAUACAUCUGGCACCUUGUAUCCAAUUUACAUACAAAUAAUCCCUACUUUGUUUUUAAAAAUGGAAAUGCUAACAUUAUCCACAUUCACACCUCUUUUUCAGUUUUGCUCUCAAAACUACAGAGAGAUACAAUUAUAUGAUCCAGACUAAUACAACUGAUGCACGGCAUCAAUGACAAGAACUAAUGGUUCCUGAUUAUGGAUUUUGAUGCACCAAUCAAACCUGUGGCAGCCUCUGAUCACGAGAUGUGUUUGUCUAUAGUGCUGACAUCUAUGGAAAUCAACUCAUUGUUAUUCUCUCUGAUGAAUGGCAUGUGUCGUUGGUCAAGGUGAACAGAAAAUGAUUAGAAAAUAAUCACGCAUUGUGUAAAUGCAUAGCUUUGUGCAGUGUAGCCAUUUGUUGGCUUGGCUGUGUGUUUAUAUUAUAUAGAGAAUUGCUGGCUGCAUGGCCACAGGUAAUACCGCCAUGCUGCUGUAUUAUGAUGAUUAAUGAUCUUCUUUUAAAAGAUGCAAAUUGCUUUGUGAAAAGCAUCACCAUUUUGUUCUAGCUGGUGCAGGUAAUCUGUUCUCUCCUUUGUUUUAAGUGGAAGGCAGCUGUCCAGUCUGUGCAUUUGGCUUGACUUUACAAGCGGUGUGUUAGAUUGCACCAACUCUUAAGAGAGGAAUUUGAUCCAGGGGGUUGAUUUAUUUGAUAAAAAGGAUGGGUAACACGUUAAGUUGACUACAUAUCCAUAAUGAAUUUAUUACACAUCUAUAAGCAUUUCAUAAACAUGUUAUAACAGGUCCUUACCACAUUAAUUAAAUAUAUCCAUAGCAUACAGGGGCACUACUUUGGUUUUAGAAGUGGGGGGGACAUAAUAUUAUUCUUAUUAUUAUUUGUAUAUUUUAUCCAGUCGGAUAAACAGCCUACCCGAGCACUCGGAGGCGUCCGCAUGGUCCUAAAGCACAAUGUUGCCUAGUUUUGUAUCAUAUUCCAAUGAUAAAACUGGGAGGGGGACAAAAAUGCAAUUUCAGAAUGUGGGGGGGUGUCCCCCAGUAAGUUGUGCCCCUGAUAGCAUAUCUAUAGCACAUUCAUGUCAUACUAUGCAAGAGCUCAUAUUUAGGUAUCUUAAUAGAUGCGUUAAUACAAAGACAGCUUAAUGUCAUCAUUAUGACUGUUCUCAAAAGUGUGCUUCUGCCAUACCAGUGUUAGUGAAUAUUCCAAAAGGCCAAACCCCAUUUAGAAAAUUAUGCCGAUAUAUAGCCUGUACCCGCCCUAUUUUCCCCACGGGCUGGUAUAGGGCCUUGACUUACCUUUUGCUUCUUCUUCUUACUGAGGUCCAUGGUGCAUGAAGAUCCCCACAAGGUUGAAUCCUCGGGGUACAUUUUAAGGAUGAAAUCGUGUAGUUGAGGGGCAUAUCAUAACUCUUUCGUAACUCAUUAACAGCCCCCCUCCACAUCAAAAUGAAUUUGGCCACACUGGACUAUAACACACAUAUGAAUGGUCUAUGUAUGAAUUAUAUCCAGUCAAAGUAAAGUAAAAUCUAUUUUCCCAUUCAUGAAGCAUUUAUAGCUAAGCACUUACUGGUAAUUAACGUUGCAGUUUUCCAC